rnacentral:tRNA from 1 species
GGGGAGAUUCCAGAGCGGCCAAAUGGGGCAGACUGUAAAUCUGUUGUCUUACGACUUCGCAGGUUCGAAUCCUGCUCUCCCCACCC